GUUUCUAUGUCUGAGCGCCUGCGUGUGUAGUGUGUUCGCCGGCUCACGUGGAUGCCACAAAACAGCCGUAGAGGAUUCAUGGACUUCCUGAAAGUAGUGCCAUGUUGCAUGUGUAAAUUUUGCAAGACAAAGGAGGAUCUAUGUCUUUCCUUUCAUGGGCUAGAUUGAAUGGGACCACGUUGGUGUUUUUAGUUGAUUCCUGGGUUUUAAAGGGUAUAGUGUAGGUAUAUUUGGGUGUAUGUUAUGAGCCGUUACGCCUUUCAUAUAUCCCUCCGCUGUUUUUUGUCCCCUUUCAGACUGUUUUGGUCUUUUCGCUGUUAGCAACGGAAAGAAGCCGAGAUAGCUGUAAACCCUAUUUUGAGAUAAUUGAAUUUUUUUGUUAGGCUUACACAGCAAAUUGACAAGAGGUGUAACAUCUAUGUUUAUUUUGGAAGAGUGAUUGGCGCGUGUUGUCUUUUUUAAAUAUUUUUUUUUCCCGUUUUAAUAGGAAUUGUACAGAUUGCUAAUUUAGAUAGCAACUGUUAGCGAGCUAGCCUCUUAGCAUAGCAUCUUCCUCAAGAGGCACGUUGACGUUACCCUGCUAGCUAGCCAGCUCUUAGCACUGCUAACGUUAGCGAGCUGUCACACAAUCACACACCGUCUCAUCGGCAAGACAUUGCGGUGUGAAGCUGGUCGUUUUAAGACGCUGUCUUUUAUGGGAUCACCAUGUCAAUGAAGGCCGGUGGAAAUCGCAGCAAGCCCGGCGGUGGCAACAGCGCUGGUGCCGCCGCCUCCGGUGCCGGAGGAAGCGGCGGGGGGAGACAGAAUCUGGGCAGGGGAAGACACAGUGGUAAAGGUCCUGCAGCAGUCAUUUUCAAUGGUGUAUAUGCAAAUAUGAGGAUGGUCCAUGUCUUGACUUCAGUGGUGGGGACCAAGUGUGAACUGAAAGUGAAAAAUGGAGCCGUGUAUGAAGGAGUAUUUAAGACAUACGGUCCAGAGUGUGACCUGGUGUUGGAUGCAGCCCAUAGAAAGAGCCCAGAGCCGAGCAUAGCUCCCAGGAAAGAGGAUAUUGUGGAGAGCAUCAUUUUCAAGGCCUCAGAUGUCGUAGUGGUGACCUUCAAAGAUGUGGAUCUGAAUUUCGCCAAGAAAGUCUCCUCUGACACAGACAACUUCACAGAUGCAGCAGUGAGCGGUAAGAUCAAUGGCGAGCAUAAAGAGAAAGAUCUAGAGCCCUGGGAUGGAGGAGAGACCCACAACUCUGACAGCCUCGAGUCUUUGGAUACAGAUGUGUCAAAUGGGUGGGACCCCAAUGACAUGUUCAAGUACAACGAGGAGAAAUAUGGAGUCUUGUCUACAUAUGACAGCAGCCUGUCCACAUAUACGGUCCCCCUGGAGCGGGACAACUCGGAAGAGUUCCUCAAGAGGGAGGCGCGUGCCGCCCAGCUGGCAGAGGAGAUAGAGGCCAGUGCCACAUACAAGGCCCGUGUGGCCCUGGAGAAUGAUGAACGCUCUGAGGAGGAGAAAUACACUGCUGUUGUGCGAGGGGAAAGGGAGACUCACACACUGACCAGAGAGAACAAGUACAUUCCUCCAGGUCAGAGGAACAGAGAGGCCAUGUCCUGGGGACCGGGACGUCAGAAUUCACCUCGUCUGGCUCAGAGCUCAGCUGGACCCUCAACUCCUCGACCAGGACCUCACGACUACAGUCCCAGCUCCGGAGGCGACCAGAGAGUAGUUAACGGAGGUUCAUCCCAUUGGCCCUCACCCUGUCCAUCUCCUUCCUCCCGUCCCCCCUCUCGUUACCAGUCUGGCUCCUCCUCUCUGCCUCCUCGGGCGACCACGCCCACCAGGCCACCCUCCAGACCCCCCUCUCGACCUUCCAGGCCUCCCUCUCAUUCAUCCCACCCCUCCUAUCCCUCCUCCUCAUCCUCCUUUUCUCACCAUGGGCCCACGUCGCAAGCCUCCACUCUGCCUAAACGCAUGUCUUCAGAAGGCCCACCCAGGAUGUCUCCUAAAUCACAGCGGACGCCCCGUGCCCACAGAGUGCCACCCUGCCGGACCACUGGAGUCCCUCCAGGAGUGGAUUUAAUUUCCCACAAUGCCCCUGGAGAGGUCCCAGUGACUCCGCCAACCAGGAGCAGCUCCUCUGGAGGGACAUGGUCCUCGGUGGUUAGUGGAGCACACCGACCUCGCUCCCCCAGACAGAAUAGUAUGGGUGGAGCAUCUUCUGGCUCCUCCUCCCUCCCAGCACCACAGACAGGAGCCGCUCCUGUAGAAACUGUUGCUACAGCAACAUCGGCUUCCUCCCCUACUGCUGCUAGCCCCGCCCCCAACAUGGUCUCCUCUUCAGGAGAUGCAAAAGAGUGUCGUGUCCAGGAGACAAGACAGACUUCCCCCACGGCGAAUAAGGAAAACAUCAAGCCCUUGGAAAGCUCACCUAGUAUCACCAGACCAGUCUGUAAAGGACCCCCUUCUAUUGCACCAGAUCACAGAAAACAAAUAGAUAAUUUAAAGAAAUUUAGUGUCGAUUUUAGGUUGCAAUCUAGUUCAAACCCAGAUCCUGCCUUUGACCAGAUGAUGACCAAGCCCCCCAGAGAUCCAGCAGACAAGCCGAAAGACCUUCCACUGGACAAAGCCGCCACAGUAGGGCGGGAGGGCGCUGACGAUGACGUUGUAGUGAUUGCUGCUGGCACCCCUGGUGGUGCCCCUGCUCCAUCCACCACCACCACAAACAGCAGUAAGCCCGGCAGCCCUGCUGCACUGUCCCCGUCUCCCUCAGCCCCCGACCAGAAGAGGGCGGGGCUGGAUGUGACAUCACAGGGAGUUCAGACGACAGCCACGUCCACGUUCAGUGGACCCAAGCAUGAAGAGAAGGAGGAGAAAAAGGAGGCAGUACAAGAUCAAGUGAGGAAAUCAACUCUGAACCCAAAUGCCAAUGAGUUCAAACCCAGGUUCAAUACACAGCCCAAACCAGCCAACACCCCGACGCCUCCCCGGCCUCAGGGCCAGCCCAGCCCCUCCAUCGUGGUCCAGCAGCCCCAGACUGUCUACGGCCAGACAGUCUGCUUCCCCCAGAUGUAUCCCCUCACACCAGUCAGCCCUGGAGUGCAGAAAAGCAUAAUAUGGAAGUCUCCAGCUAUGUACCAGGUUCAGAUGCCUCAUAUGACAGUCAGCCAGUCUAAACCCUACAGACCAGGUAAAGUACCCAACAUGCCCCAGCAGAGGUCAGACCAGCACCACCCGCAAGGCACGCCCACCAUGAUGCACCCAGCCACGGCAGCAGGACCCCCUAUUGUAGCACAGAGCCCCGCCUACUCUGCCCAGUACUUCACCUGCAGCCCGCAGCAGUUCACCAGUCAGCCACUGGUCCAGCAGAUGACGCAUUACCAAUCACAGGCGCAACAUGUCUUCAGUCCAGUGAUGCAGGGGAGUGCCAGGAUGAUGGCGCCUCCCACACAUGGCCAACCCACCCUCGUCUCUUCCUCAACUACACAGUACCCAGAGCAGACACACACCAUGUAUGCCUCCUGUCUCACAGUGUCUCCAGGGCCAAUGCCUCAGCAGUACCCCCACCCCAAUGCCACCUUGCACCCUCACCCACAGCACCCACAGCCCUCAGCAACGCCUACAGGCCAAGGCCAGCAGGGUGGCCCCCCGCAACAUGGAGGUCCUCCUAACCACCCAGCUGCCAGCCCAGUCCAGCACUCACAGCACCAGCAGGCAGCAGCAGCGGCAGCAGCAGCGCAGGCCCUCCACCUGGCCAACCAGCCCCCGCAGCAGCAGAUGUAUUCUGCCCUGGCCCCCACUCCCCCCUCCAUGACCCCAGGGCCCAACCCUCAGUCUCCCCAGGCAUCGUUCCCCUCCGCCCAGCAGACGGUCUAUAUCCACCCACAGCAGGUGCAGCACGGCUACAACCACAACCACAUGGCACACGUGCAGCAGGCCCAUAUGCAGUCUGGUAUCGUGCAGUCUCACCACCCGGCGCAGACCCACCCCACAAUGAUGCUGAUGGCUACCCAGGGUCCUCCUGGGGGACCGCAGCCACCCAUGCCCCAGACUGCCCUCAACCCCAUACCCGUUUCCUCCACCACACAUUUCUCCUACCUGGCACAUCCACAAGGAGGUUUUUUUUUUCCCCCCCGUUGAGGCCGCUGCUGGCCAGAUUGAGAUGGUUCAAGGGCCGGUCCUGGCCCUGGGGCCACAUGUUACCCAUGUGUGCUAUAGCCGGUGCUAAAUGCAAGCUCAUCAUCAGCAGCAGCUGUAGAUAGAGGGCGCCAGCGAGCUGAGGGACCCGCUCUGUGUCGCGCUUCUCAAACAGAGCCUUCAUAACCAGGCGAUGAAGAGAUUGAGAGCCCUCCCUCUCCUCUCUUUCCUCAUCCUCACCAGACAUGCUUCACAUCAGCUUUUCUCUUCCCUCCCCCUCCCUCCCUCCCUCCCAGACUAGGCAAUAAGAGAAUGUUAACAGGUUGAUGCAGUGACAUGUUUUAACGAGCUAGAGAGUUUUUAACGGGCAAGACUGCUCCUAUUCAGCCCCUGUUUACACACGGCAUACACACACAGAUACACACACGAACAAAACACCCACACACACAUUCAGGGGGUCCCAAAUUGAAACUUGAGUCAGCUUGCCAAGUAAAGACGUGAAAGAGAGAAUGAGAGAAACUAAUCAGUGAGAGUGAAGAAGAAAAUUAAACUGGAACUUGUAUUUUGUCUGCACCUUGUUCUGAGAAAAAAAAAAACUUCCAACUUUUAGACAGUAUUAAUCUUACUGUUUAUUGCUGCUGCUAUGUGCUGCGUUUGUUUCCAGACUACAUGACAGGUUUCUAACCAAACUAAAAACGAAACAUGACGAGAAGCUUCCUGUGAAAUAAACACGUUUUGGCAGCCAAGAGGACAGGAGAAACGUUA